rnacentral:lncRNA from 1 species
UCAGAAACAAAGGACGCUGAUGCUGCUUUUCAUCCUUCUGCCCAAGGAGAAUAAAUGUUUGUGCAAACCUUUUUUCAUGUGGCUGCCCAGAAAUGACCCGAGUGAAGCCAAGAAGUUGAACAUUAAGCAACCUCCCCCGGUGAUGCUGCUGAAAUGAGAGAAUGCAUCCUCUGACACUGUGUGACACAGCCCAGCUGUAAAUUUUCUUUCCUGAAGAUUUGUCACUCUACAUUAUUCCUGCAGUAAACACACACAGAAGAAUAAAACCUAGGACCAUGACUCCACAUCACACCAGUGUCACUUUCUUGCCAGCAGGACCUUAGCUCCAAAAAGCUUGGUGAUGUGCUUUCAAAAUUGGUGGGAGAGCUGGAGGAUGUGCCGAGGAAUCGCUGCCCACGCAUGGCCCCUGACAUCACCCUGGUGUUGGGGAGCACUUGGAGCCUGAGCCCCAGGAGCUGCUGUCUUCAGCAGGAGGCUGAUUUCACCUCCUUCGGCUGGUGAGGUGCGAGGCCUUUGCCAAGGCUGCAGGUUUCCCUGGAGGACAAGACAGCAGUGAAAGAUCACAUCUCACCAAAUCCUUCUGUAGGACGAGGACUCAAAGUGUCACCGUGGAGAAUUAGCAAACCCCAUCAUCCAAAGCCUUUAUUCUCCCAAAAUCUGAAGUCUACUGCUGUGAAGAAAACUCUUAAGAUGCUGGAGUUUGGGAAGGGAGCACUUGCAGUCCUUGGACUGCACAGCUGCCUUUGCAAUAUUCCCAGGAGGGAAUGGUGCAGGAAAGAAGCAAAAAAAGUAAACAGGCAGGAGUCUGGAGCUCAAAGUCCAGAGGCAUCAACACAAAUUCACAUCCUACCCUGUUCCUAAAAGCUUCAGCGAGUUCUUUCCCUGUAUAAUAAGGAAUUUAUAAGUUCUUCCUCAAUUAGUAGCCCUGACAGUGAGAUUUUGGGUGCCCUUGAUGCUGUCACUUUGCUGCCUUGCAUGUCAGCUCCUCACCUGAAAAAGAAGAACAAUCCUACUCAUUUUCCCUUGCCCUGUUCAUCCCUCCAGACUCUCCAUCAGAGGCUCUGCUUCUCACUGGAACUUGCUGCUUGCCCAGCAUGGUAAGUGUUUGCAGUCCUAUCACAGGAUAUUAAUUAAUCAUACAAAUAAA